AAGAGCGUCUCCGCAGACGACCACCUGGACAUGAGCCUGGACGACGGCUUGGGGACGGCGGGCGAAGGCAAACCAAGCCGUGGCAAUAAGGGCAAGCUGAAGAGGAAGUUUAGUCUGGGUUCUGCUGACCGGAAGGAGAAUCAGCAGAAGAAGUUAGAGUCGGGGAUCUCCAAAUUUACCCAUCGUCUGUCCCUCAAAGAGCGUCCGGCCAAGACAGAGAAGACCUCCUCGGACAGACCUCCAUCAUAC